CCCUCCGUAGCCGUAUAGCAGCUUGCCACGACCAUUCUCGUCAUAGUACGGAUAUCGGUAGUUCGGCCUGUAAAUAUAUUAGCUAAAAAAGAUCUUGGACUCUAGUAUGUGAUAGCAAUUUCAGUUUGAUAUCUCUACGCAUUCCUGAUAAAAAGGGGCUUAACAAACAGAGUGAUCCUAUAAGGGUUCCUCUUGAAGAACGGAACCCUAAAUAUGGUAAAAAUUCAGAUGAAAUCUCACCAUUCAUAAUAAAUAAAAAUACUUUGGUGUCGUAAGCAUUUU